rnacentral:hammerhead_ribozyme from 1 species
GUCUAGCUGAUCAGUCCCAAACAGGACGAAACACGCAUCCUGGAC